rnacentral:rRNA from 1 species
UAAGGAAUAUUGCGCAAUGGGCGAAAGCCUGACGCAGCGACGCCGCGUGGGGGAUGAAGGUCUUCGGAUUGUAAACCCCUUUCGGGAGGGAAGAUGGAAUGGGGUAACCCAUUCGGACGGUACCUCCAGAAGCAGCCACGGCUAACUUCGUGCCAGCAGCCGCGGUAAUACGAAGGUGGCAAGCGUUGUUCGGAUUUACUGGGCGUACAGGGAGCGUAGGCGGUUCGGUAAGCCCUCUGUGAAAUCUCCAGGCUUAACCUGGAACAGUCGGAGGGGACUGCCGGGCUAGAGAACGGGAGAGGAGCGCGGAAUUCCCGGUGUAGCGGUGAAAUGCGUAGAGAUCGGGAGGAAGGCCGGUGGCGAAGGCGGCGCUCUGGAACGUUUCUGACGCUGAGGCUCGAAAGCGUGGGGAGCAAAC